ACAGCUGUUCGGAAUGUGUUUUGUACCGUAAUUUCUUAUCAUUGCAGGAUAUUGCGAAUUUGUGUGAAAAUUUUUCACUUUGCUGUAUAGUAAAGAAUGGAAAAGAGAGACAUUUUCACCUCAAAUCAUAAAAAAAUUACUGUCACUGAAACUUUAUUGAUCGUCGUCCGAAUCCAGGAAAAGAGCUUGUAGGCGUUGGCUUUAAAAGUCAUUUGUGCUUAAAAAUGACGUCAGAAGUACCUGAAGCUCCAGAAGCUCCUUGCCUAUGUGCUGGCCAAGGAAGUAUCCAAGCUAAAAUUCGGCCAGGCGUUUGGAUACCCUGUAUAAGAUCACUGCACAUGUACGAAGAGCGAUGGAAUGUGUCUGCAAAUCCAGUAGUUUGUUCGAAGGAUGUUCUUCAAGCUAUAUCCAAACUUCGUACAAGAAGCCUCAGGGGUAACGUUUUCACCGUUGCUUACGUUGAAGAGAAAACAGAGAGAAGUAAAUUGGAGAUUCUUGUAUUUUCACGCAUGCGAUACGUGUUUGUUAUCAAAUUGGAUUUUGUGAAUGAAGAAUCUGCUGGCUGUACUGCACACGUCAGAGCUUUUUCGAGUGGCGCAUUCCCUUCGUGGUUUCCUCUUAAUUUUUUAUUCAGUUCUUUGUUCUUUUUUGUUCCGUUUUAUGAUCUAGGUAAGAAUGCUCUUUGGAUUAAUAUCCUGAGAAGUCAAAUGACAAUUCCUAUUGAAAUUACCGAAAAAGGACGGAAGUGUUAGCAUCUACAUACUUAACUGUGACUUAUGCUUAAUUUUACAGAUACUGAAAUUUUUGAAUAGCGUAUUAUCUUUUGAAAAUUUCUAAGAAAUUUGUUUGCAUUCCUUUCGCCAGCAGUGCAACAUCAAAUAGAAAUAAUUUUAGUUUCAUUCUAAUCAUCAGUUUUAUGUGCCUUGCUGUAGAACGGAGAUAUCGAGAAUAAAGAGUGCCAUAACUAAGAAAUUAUACAAUGCUUUACUUGUAUCCUGAAUAGUAUUCUUGAUUUUAGGAGGCCAGUCAUUGUUUUGAAAGUCUGUCUUCUAUAAUUACGAAUAAUAUUGAACUUUUCAAAGGUGGAAGCAUUUAGGAAACCUUUUUAUGAUGCUUAAUUGAAUAAACUAGUGUUUAAAUAAGUUGUCGGAUGCACACAAAUUUACAAAUUAAUGUUUAUGGUAGUCUGUUUUCUUGAUUCAAGAAAUCUUAGUUUUUUCAUUAUAUUUCAAAUAGAAAAUUUGGAAUGUAUUUUGACUUUAAUGGGCUUCCAUCUGUUAAUUCAGUUUUAUAAUAUGUUAAAUAUAUAAGACAGAAUUUAACUGUUCUUGGAGUUACUUUGUAUUAUGAUCGUAUAAUUUUAGGCUGCUGUAAUGUAACUGUUUAGAUGGCCUUUAAAAUGUUUUAACUCAAAUGAAAACACAGUUUCAUAAAAUAAAUUAUUUCAUGACUAAUGUUAACAGAAUUAAUAAAUUUAUUUUGAUUUUUCUGAAUAAAAUUUAUAGAUUGGUGCAAAAUUCUCCAUACAUUGGGUAAAAAUAAUUUUCAUUUGUGUUGCAUGUCAUCUAAGAUUUGCUGUUUUUUAAUAAUCAGUACGUUACCUGAAGUUCAAUCUAGAUCUUUUAUCUCACAUCUAGUGUUAUUAAGCAAGCCAUCGACAAAUAAGAUUUACCCUCAAAAUGAAAAGGCGCGGAGAAAACAACGAAAUGAGAAGUUUAAAAGCAAAGAGGAAGUUGUAUUGUUCCUUUUUUUUUGGGGGGGGCGAGUUUUGGUGAUAAGCAUUUUAUGGAAAAAUCAAACAAACGAACAUUUUCGAAGAAAUUUUUGAAUAAUUAUUAAAUCAAACUCAGAAAAGUGUACGCACAUCGAUUUAUUGCAUUUCAUUAUUAAAUGCCUGCGAUGUGGAUACUAAGUAGUAGAUAAUAUUUGCUAUUAAACUUUUGCACAACCGGUUGUAGCAAUAAGCACACAGAUAAAUAAAUAAUCACGAGCUGAGAAGAAAAAAAACUAGUUCACAUUCGCUCAGGUAUUGAUUAUAAUUUUAAAUUACAAGCAUAUAUAUUUGUACUUGGUUUUAGGAUAUUAUCAUUUCUUAACUGGGAUAAUUUCUGCCAUUUUCUCCUUCAACUCUCAUUAAAGAAAUUUUCCUUCUGCAUUGUAAUCUUGCAUUAAAAAAGUGUUGUCUAUUGUGUAUUUGGCAUAAUAAUUUAGGAGGGGAUUUUCAAUAAUAAAUAGUUGUCAUAUUACAAAUCCUAACAAGAAUACAAAGCAGACAACUUCUGUCUGCUUUGUAUUGUUAAUGUCAUAUUCACACACACGAAAAAAAAAGCAACGAGUAUAUUUGUUAAUAAACCAUGCGGAUUCAAAAAUGACUAAUACAUGUAAGAAACGCGUCAAGAGCAACAAUGCAACAUGGUGCAAAAGAACGAUUACGUUGUCGAGGUAUAAGAACACGCAGCCGGUGCUAAUAUAUGAUCACGUGGCGAGAUACAAGAGCACACAGCCAGAUUUUGGCGAGAUAGCUCGGUUGAUUGUUGUUUCAGUUUCGGAGCCCUAUAUAACAAAGAAGUACCCUGUGAUUUUAUACACUUUUGUGCUGAUUGAAUAUAAUUAAAGCAUGUAUUUAAUAUUUUAUAGAACAUGAAACGUAAAGCGAAAUAUUUAUUUUUGAUAUUUUUAUUUUAUUUGAAAAGUUUAAUCGUGUUAAAGCUGCUAUGAUAUAUUACAUUGUUGAUGCUAUUUACGAACAGUUUUGAGUUCUAUAUAUUCAGAUUGUUUUGUAAACUUCAUUCAUACAGUAAAAAGAAAUAAAAUAUAUGUAUGGUAUUAUUA
rnacentral:lncRNA from 1 species